rnacentral:rRNA from 1 species
UACGAAGGGGGCGAGCGUUGUUCGGAAUGACUGGGCGUAAAGGGCGCGCAGGCGGCGCGACAAGUUGGGCGUGAAAGCCCCGGGCUCAACCCGGGAAUGGCGCGCGAUACUGUCGGGCUGGAGUUCGGGAGAGGAGCGUGGAAUUCCCAGUGUAGAGGUGAAAUUCGUAGAUAUUGGGAAGAACACCGGUGGCGAAGGCGGCGCUCUGGACCGAGACUGACGCUGAGGCGCGAAAGCGUGGGGAGCAAACAGG